AAAUUGGGGGCACGGAGGGAGUGGAAUUUAGGAUGGCGUUGCAACCGUUAAACAGAAACCCUAGAAACUGAUAUAUUCAUAUCAAUUAUCAAAGAUCGAAUUGCCGGAGAAAGGAUCAGGGCCGAAUAGAUGGAGAGGAUUGUUGCCAAAAAGUAUAAGCUAGGUCGAAAGAUCGGUAGUGGAUCCUUCGGUGAAAUCUUCCUCGCUACUAAUAUUAAUACAUUGGAGGUCGUUGCUGUUAAAAUUGAGAGUAGAAAGACAAAGCACCCUCAGUUACUUUACGAGGCAAAGGUGUAUAACAUUCUCCGUGGCGGCGCUGGUAUUGCAAACAUAAGAUGGUGUGGCAUAGAUGGAGAAAACAAUGCUCUUGUUCUUGACCUCUUAGGACCAAGUCUAGAAGAUUUGUUUGUGUAUUGUGGUAGAAAGUUUUCACUGAAAUCUGUUUUAAUGCUCGCUGAUCAAAUGCUCACAAGAAUUGAGUAUGUUCAUGCCAAAGGGUAUUUGCAUAGAGACAUUAAACCAGAUAAUUUUCUGAUGGGUCUUGGUCGGAAAGCAACUCAGGUUUACCUUAUUGAUUUUGGACUUGCAAAAAGAUAUCGAGAUACAGGCUCUCACCGUCAUAUCCCAUACAGAGAGAACAAGAAUCUAACGGGAACUGCACGAUAUGCAAGCUGCAACACUCAUUCGGGUGUUGAGCAAAGCCGUCGUGAUGACUUGGAGUCACUUGGCUAUGUUUUACUGUAUUUCUUGAAAGGAAGCCUUCCAUGGCAAGGUCUAAAAGCUCCAACAAAGAAGCAGAAAUAUGACAAAAUUCGAGAGAAGAAGCUAGCAACUCCGAUUGACGUUCUAUGCAAGUCCCACCCGAUCGAGUUUGCAUCUUACUUCCACUAUUGCCAUUCUUUAAAAUUUGAUAUGCGGCCUGAUUAUGGAUUCUUGAAGCGUCUCUUCCGUGAUUUGUUCACCUGUGAAGGUUAUGAGAGUGAUAAUGUAUUUGACUGGACCAUCUUGAAGUAUCAACAAUCAUCAAAGACAAACCUGAUGGACUCUAGUUUGCAGCCAGUCUCUGGAAUGACCAGCACAAGAGUGUCUCCAGGCGACAAGCAUCACAGAGGUUAUGCCAAUGAACACGAAGGAUCAAGUAACCUGAUGUGUCCAGACGACCACAUGAACUUCAGUUCAGGAUUAGCGCACAAUUUGAUUGCAGAUAAAUCACUGGAUAAGAAUAACUUUCCAAAAACAGAAGACCUUGCUGCUGCAGCUAUUGAUCAGGAACUUGAUGACAAAGCUGUGGCGUCAAACAAUUGGAUGCAAUGAGUGCAUUGUAAUUGCUCAACUAAGUGAACCGAUGUGGAAGUGAAGCAGCAUUCUAGGGAUGGCAUAGCAGAUUCACCAGUAAAAUGGAGUUAUUUAUAGGUUCUAUCUGUACCAGAUCACAGAAUGUAUUUCUCCAGGUGACUCCGAGCAUGACCAUGCUAAAGAUUUUCAUAUAGAAGGGUUUUCAAACUAUUAAUCAUGAUGGGACCAUACUGGAGUCUGGAAGUCUUAAUGUCAAAUCAAUCUGGUUUUUAAAAGGAAACUGAAAACUAUCCAGCAAUUGGAUGUGGAGCAAUCUGCCCUGCAGCUAAUGAGGUGCUAUGGGUAUAUGAGACGAUCAAUUAGAUGGUGAUUUUUUCAUGUGGUUUUAAGUUUCUGACUUGUAAUUAGUAAAGGGUAAAGGAGGUGGAACUUCACUUUCAGAACCAGCGCUAAUUGCACAAUUGUCUCCAUUUGACAUGUGAAGCUUGCUUUUUUUCCUGAAAAUUGACAAUAUCCUGUAAAAAUAUACAUUGUAAAUUUUGAAGUAUGAGCAGAAAAAGUUAUUAUAAUUA